UGCACUCCACUGCACCACUGAGGCGAUCACAAUGCACAAUAAUCAAUCAUCAAUAAAGAGGAUAUACAUGACAUUAAAAUGUAUGUGUGUAUUUCUAUUAUUUCCCUCAUGUUUUUUUUCACCAAUAAAAUACGACAGUGUUACCCCUUAUAUUUUAUUUUACAAAGACAACAGUGUUACCCCUUAUGUUUUUUUUCAUGACGACCAAUAAAAAACGACAGUGUUACCUCUUAUGUUUUUAUUCAUGACGACCAAUAAAAAAACAACAGUGUCACCCCUCAUGUUUCAUUUGAUAAAAACGACAGUGUUACCCCCUAUGUACUAAUUGAUCAAUAUCGACAGUGUUACCCCUUAUGUUUUUUUUCAUGACGACCAAUAAAAAAUGACAGUGUUACCCCUUAUGUUUCUUUUCAU